GAAACGGUGGCUAAUACCCGAUACAUUCGGCAAUUCAGUUUGUCGAGUAAAGCUCCGGCGCUUCGAGAUGGACCUGCGGCCUAUCAGCUAGUUGGUAGGGUAAUGGCCUACCAAGGCGAAGACGGGUAGGGGGCGUGAGAGCGUGGUCCCCCACACUGGCACUGAGAUACGGGCCAGACUCCUGCGGGAGGCAGCAGUCGGGGAUAUUGCACAAUCAGCGAAAGCUGGAUGCAGCGACGCCGCGUGGGCGAUGAAGGCCUUCGGGUUGUAAAGCCCUUUUAUGGGGGAAGAGAAAAAGGACGGUACCCCAAGAAUAAGUCCCGGCUAACUACGUGCCAGCAGCCGCGGUAAAACGUAGGGGACAAGCGUUAUCCGGAUUUACUGGGCGUAAAGAGCGUUGAGGCGGUUCCGUAAGUUAGGCGUUAAAGCCCCGGGCUCAACUCGGGGAGGUCGUUCAGUACUGCGGAACUUGAGGGCAGCAGAGGGAGGCGGAAUUCCCGGUGUAGCGGUGAAAUGCGUA
rnacentral:rRNA from 1 species